CUUAACACAUGCAAGUCGUACGAGAACUCUUUAGCUUGCUAAAGACAGUAAAGUGGCGCACGGGUGAGUAACGCGUGGGUAAUCUACCUUCGAAUCGGGGAUAACAUUGCGAAAGCGAUGCUAAUACCGGAUAAUAUCUCAAAACCAUCUGGUUUUGAGAUCAAAAAUGGCCUCUACAUGUAAGCUGUUGUUUGGAGAUGAGCCCGCGUACCAUUAGCUUGUUGGUAGGGUAAUGGCCUACCAAGGCAACGAUGGUUAGCUGGUCUGAGAGGAUGAUCAGCCACACUGGAACUGACACACGGUCCAGACUCCUACGGGAGGCAGCAGUGAGGAAUUUUGCGCAAUGGGGGAAACCCUGACGCAGCAACGCCGCGUGAGUGAUGAAGGCCUUCGGGUCGUAAAGCUCUGUCAAGUGGGAAGAAAAUGUAAAAUGUUAAUACCAUUUUUCACUGACGGUACCACUGAAGGAAGCACCGGCUAACUCCGUGCCAGCAGCCGCGGUAAUACGGAGGGUGCAAGCGUUAUUCGGAAUUAUUGGGCGUAAAGGGCGCGUAGGCGGCCUUUUAAGUCAGAUGUGAAAGCCCGGGGCUUAACCCCGGAAGUGCAUUUGAAACUAAAGGGCUUGAGUAUGGGAGAGGGAAGUGGAAUUCCUGGUGUAGCGGUGAAAUGCGUAGAUAUCAGGAGGAACACCGGUGGCGAAGGCGACUUCCUGGACCNAUACUGACGCUANNCGCGAAGGCGUGGGUAGCAAACAGGAUUAGAUACCCUGGUAGUCCACGCAGUAAACGGUGAACACUAGGUGUAGCGGGUAUUGACCCCNGCUGUGCCGCAGCUAACGCAUUAANUGUUCCGCCUGGGGANUACGGUCGCAGAUNNAACUCAANGGAAUGACNGGGGCCCGCACAANC
rnacentral:rRNA from 1 species